GAUGAAGAACGUAGCGAAAUGCGAUACGUAAUGUGAAUUGCAGAAUUCAGUGAAUCAUCGAAUCUUUGAACGCAUAUUGCGCUCUCUGGUAUUCCGGAGAGCAUGCUUGUUUGAGUAUCAGUAAACACCUCAACUCCCUUUUCUUUUUUGAAAUUGAAGCUGGACUUGAGUGAUCCCAACGCUUUCUUCCAAGAAAGUGGCGGGUUGCUUGAAAUGCAGGUGCAGCUGAACUUUUCUCUGAGCUAUAAGCAUAUCUAUUUAGUCUGCCUAAAAAACAGAUUAUUACCUUUGCUGCAGCUAACAUAAAGGAGACUAGUUCUUGUGCUGACUGAUGCAGGAUUCACAGAGACAGCUUCGGCUGACUUUGUAAACUCGAUCUCAAAUCAAGUAAGACUACCCGCUGAACUUAAGCAUAUCAAUAAGCGGAGGA
rnacentral:misc_RNA from 1 species